rnacentral:rRNA from 1 species
UACGGAGGGUGCAAGCGUUAAUCGGAAUUACUGGGCGUAAAGCGCACGCAGCUGGCUGAGUCAGUCGAUUGUGAAAGCCCUGGGCUUAACCUGGGAAUUGCAGUCGAUACUACUCAGCUAGAGUAUGGGAGAGGGUAGUGGAAUUCCCGGUGUAGCGGUGAAAUGCGUAGAUAUCGGGAGGAACAUCAGUGGCGAAGGCGGCUACCUGGCCCAAUACUGACACUCAGGUGCGACAGCGUGGGGAGCAAACAGG